rnacentral:rRNA from 1 species
GCCGACGGUAAUACGUAGGUGGCAAGCGUUGUCCGGAAUUAUUGGGCGUAAAGCGCGCGCAGGCGGCUUCUUAAGUCCAUCUUAAAAAGUGCGGGGCUUAACCCCGUGAUGGGAUGGAAACUGAGAGGCUGGAGUAUCGGAGAGGAAAGUGGAAUUCCUAGUGUAGCGGUGAAAUGCGUAGAGAUUAGGAAGAACACCGGUGGCGAAGGGCGACUUUCUGGACGACAACUGACGCUGAGGCGCGAAAGCGUGGGGAGCAA